AUAAGGAGUAACAAAUACUCUAUGUAGAUAAGAUUUUCAAUAAAUUAUAUAGUAACGGAGACAGACAACAGUGGGGCUUUUCCAGUGUUCAAGGUAGUUUAAAUUAAUCUUUUAAAUGGACCAUUUCAGUGGAUAUGCAUUACUUCAUAUGGGAAAAUGUUCAUUUUUGGUUACUUUGUUGUGUUUGAUCAUAGUUUCCACUGUAGAAAACAAAUUAUAUUGUCUAUAUUUUACUGUAUCCUACUGUUUUUAUUCCUUUGGUACAAAGCUUGACUCUCAAUCUGUAUUCAUAAUGGGUGAAAUACUGAAAGUGAACAGGAUUUUAUUGUCAUAUUCAACCUUUUAGCAUUCUUCGCACCGUACCAUGGGACCGAUGGACUAUCAAUAAAAAUAAAUGAGGCUGUACUAUGUCCUUUGUGCAAGCUUAAACAAAGCGCUUAUAAUUGCCUUGUCAUGCAUCCAAGGUUGACUCCCUGUACAUUUUGGCCUGGCUGGUGCUCCAACCAGUCAGAUAUCAUUCCUGCAUCAGGCACAGUGAGCAAGUAAGUGCCCCCUGGCCAAACGGCCCAUCUCACUUUUAAACACACUCAAGGAGAUUUUUUUGGGGCACCUGUGGUGUCAUGUUCGAACCUCUGCAAUGAGUAGUGUGUGAUAAUUAAAAUGCUUCCUGGUUCUAUUAGUUCUGCAAAGUGGGAAAAAAAGGGAGGUGAAUAUGUGAAUUAAAAUCAACUUAUUAGUAAGCGUGGAAGGGUGUAGCUCAAUCUGAUGGAUUGUUUGUCACUGGAGGACAACUAACCUGUGUUGUGUUUAAAGAAUACAAACUUGAAACUGUCCACGUCUUAGCCGUUCACUGACAUUUAAGGUGUAAUUUACUUAAAUAAUUUCCUUGUAGUUCCCCUGAGUGCUUACCGGUUAUUCCUGAAGAGGCACCUUUGGACUUUUUUGGCCUCAUAGCUUUAAAAAAAACCAAUAGAUCAAGUUGAAGGUCUAUUUAUUUGGCUCCAAAGAACACAGAAAGCCUUUUUUUUUUUUUUUUUGGUGCAUUUACAUAAUGUCUGUAUGGCGUGAAAGACAAGGAGAGAGGUAGGGGAGGUGGGUGUGCACCUCCAGUGGGUGUGUCACCCGUCAUGUCUCAACACGGCGUGCUGGGCUUGAUAGACAGCUGCACUCACACCUGAGUAGCCAAGGUGAGCGACACGAGUGAAAAACUCACCUGUGACACUCCACCAACUUGCUGGCUUCUUCUCGGUCAUCACCGGAGCAGGUAGUGUUUCACAGCUGUUCUGUUGCCCGCACCGCUAGAAACUUUGCCUGGGAAUUUUUCACCUCAAACAUUUCAGUCAUUGUUUCUGGUCGUGUGUGCAACGUGCAUCCAAGCCCGCAGGAAACGUGUGUAUUUUUUUUUGUUUGAUUAUUGAGAAACUGAAGCGUUUCAGGCCAGGAUGCAUGUAACUGUUGCUAAGUGCAUUUCAAUUGACUCUAACCGGAAACACACCAGUAAAUCUUUAUAUUUUUCUACAAUCAAACCUUGCAGUUUGGUGGUGACAUAAGGCCACAUUGUGCAUGGUAGUGGUGUUGCCACAUGUAGACUCCGUGUGAAUAUGUGUGGUAUGUUGGUGAACCAGCUUCACUCGAUGAUGAUGAUGAUGGGUGUAACCCUUUCCCUUGACAGAGGCCUGAUUUACUGCGAAUGCUGUCAAUUAAAGAGAAGGAUAAGACAUUUUCCGUUGCUAACAUAAAAUUGCACGGUUUGGCAUGGUUAUAGUGUAUGGGUUGUUUCCAAUAUUUUUGAAAACGCUCUUUAUAGAUUUCAGGAUUGUGCAGGUGUACCUAACAUGUAGUCCAUGCUGUGUUUAUAUUAGUGGGAUAUUACAGAAAACCCCUGCCAUAUCGCGGUUCAUCAUUCACGUCCUCAUCAUGUGACAGAUUUUGUUAUGGGUUUUAGUACACGGACAAGUUUAAAUUUAGAGUUGCACCUUUUCAAUGUGGUACCAUGUUGUGCCGCGACUUGUUGGGCAGCACCGAGGUCGACACGGAGCGUAAUUAAUGGCAAAAAGAAGAGGAUACCCAUGCCCAUUCAGUGUAAUAGAGCACCACAUUUUUCUGCUUCAGUAUUCGUUGUUCCCAUAGAGCAAAGAGAAUAUAUGCCUGUUUAUAUGUCUUGAUGCUCUGUGUGCAAAAGUAACAGUUGUUUGAAGGUUUUAGAAAUUUCUAUCAGCCCGUCCAUGGCGUUACACUGUUAGCAUUAAGCUAGCCGAUUUUCAUUUGACAAAAUUAUAUGGUUUGGUUGAACAUUGUAGUGUUUAAAAAUCCAUCCAUCCAUCCAUUUUCUGAGCCGCUUCUCCUCACUAGGGUUGCGGGCGUGCUGGAGCCUAUCCCAGCAAUCAUCGAGCAGGAGGCGGGGUACACCCUGAACUGGUUGCCAGCCAAUCGCAGGGCACAUACAAACAAACAACCAUUCUCACUCACAUUCACACCAACGGGCAAUUUAGAGUUGUCAAUUAACCUACCAUGCAUGUUUUUGGGAUGUGGGAGGAAACCGGAGUGCCCGUAGAAAACCCACGCAGGCACAGGGAGAACAUGCAAACUCCAUACAGGCAGGGCCGGGGAUUGAAGCCCGGACCUCAGAACUGUGAGGCAGAUACUCUAACCAGUCGGUCACCGUACCGCUGUGUUUAAAUAUACAAUGUUUAAUGAUUUUAUUUUAUGUUUGUUUUACUGUAAAUACAUGGGAGUAACAAAUAAACACCUUGAAGCAAGCA